rnacentral:rRNA from 1 species
UACGUAGGGAGCAAGCGUUAUCCGGAUUCACUGGGUGUAAAGGGAGCGUAGACGGCCAUGCAAGCCAGGGGUGAAAGCCCGGGGCCCAACCCCGGGACUGCCCUUGGAACUGCAUGGCUGGAGUGCGGGAGGGGCAGGCGGAAUUCCUGGUGUAGCGGUGAAAUGCGUAGAUAUCAGGAGGAACACCGGCGGCGAAGGCGGCCUGCUGGACCGCGACUGACGUUGAGGCUCGAAAGCGUGGGGAGCGAACAGG